rnacentral:rRNA from 1 species
ACCAGCGGCCCUAGUGGUGAUCGUUAUUAUUGGGCCUAAAGCGUCCGUAGCCGGUUCGGUAAAUCUCUGGGUAAAUCGUUGGGCUUAACUCAACGAAUUCUGGGGAGACUGCCGAACUUGGGACCGGGAGAGGUCGGAGGUACUCCAGGGGUAGGGGUGAAAUCCUGUAAUCCUUGGGGGACCACCGGUGGCGAAAGCGUCCGACCAGAACGGGUCCGACGGUAAGGGACGAAGCCCUGGGGCGCGAACCGG